AAGGAGAGUUGAGCCCAGCUUUUCAAUUCAUACAGAUCCUUUCUCUGAAGAACCCCUUCCUGAUAUUGUCACUUUAACACAUCUCUGUGGUUUUAUUUUGAAAUUUUUAAAGGUACAGUCAUGUGCCGCAUAAUGACAUUCAGUCAAUGACAGACUGCAUAUAUGAGGUGGUCCUGUAAGGUGAUAAUGGAGCUGAAAAAUUCCUACUACUGAACGACAUCAUAGCCAUUGUAACAUCAUAGCACAACCAAUCACCUUUUCUAUAUUUAGGUAUGUUUAUUUAGAACUGUAUUAGUCCAUUUUCGUGAUGCUGAUAAAGAUAAAACCAAGACUGGGAAGA
rnacentral:lncRNA from 10 species